rnacentral:lncRNA from 1 species
AUGGCUUAUUUAAGAGGAAGGAGCAUAUGAUGGAUGGUUUGUGAUUCCAUCAAUUAUGAUUCUUUAGAGUAGAUUUGUGUUUGACUUAUAAAAGAGAAGCAUUUGAUGAACAAUUGUGACUUGAUAAAUGUACUCCCUAUUUUUGUUUUUGAAUUUUGUUUUUCUUAGUUAUUUUUUUUGCUAUAAUAGAUGAUUCAUACACUUCUAGUGUGAAUACAUCCAAAAUAAGUUAAAAGAUAAUGAGUCUCAGAGUGCUUUAGGUAACUCUCUCUCAUCGAUUCAUAGGGCCCCUCUAGAGUGGUCAGCCACAUAUGAGGCCACCCUAUCCGCAGCUUCAUUGGCCUCUUUAUACGCAUGCUUGACCUGUAAAGCGAUGUCUCCACCUACCAUAGCCCAAAUAUUCUAGAGCAAGGGGUGGCACUCACCGGCGCCACCAGUGCCCCCAAGAUCCAGCUGAUCACCGUGGUGCUACGAGAGCAGAUGUAGAGCUCCAGAUGUCUCGAGUUGUCAAGGGCCCAUCUGAUGAACCUGCAUGGGUGAUCUCUGCUGUCUGUACUCGAGCUUGCUCCACAACGAACCUAGGUGUAUAGAGCUGCUAUCUCCAAAGAUCUAGGCAUUUUUAGGUAGCUAGAUAUGGUAAGCAGUGUAAGUCGUCACAGUGGCCAUAUACCAGGUUUGAGGGGUGGUGGCCCACUGUCUGAGCACUUGAAUGAAGGAGCCUGACUGACACCGAGCAUCCGAUGGGAUAUUAACAAGCCUCCAAACCUUCCUAGCACAUCUGCACUGAAAUAGAGCGUGGUUCAUGGUCUCAUCCAUCCGUGGUAUGCUGUAUCGUACCGAACCGGACGGUACCGAGCAUACUGUACCAGCUCAGUAUCGGUAUCGAUGGCGUACCAAUACUCAGUAUGCCAAAUAAACCGCAUAUCGUACCGUACCGACACUAUACUAGUAUGGCACCGGUAUAGGAUCCGGUACUGAUACAACGAACCUUGCAUUUAUCUGAAAUUUAGGGCAUUGAGGUUGGAUGCUCAGUCCCCGCCAGCUCAGCACCGAUCUCGUCGGAAACCGACCGAAAACCAUCUUUCAGAGACAGGGCAAUCCUCGAGUGAAGACCUAGCCUUCAGAUCCAGGUGCAGUCCUGCCUCAGGUGUUGCUCACUUUGAAAGAGGCCAUAGAUGUCUCUCACUUUGACUCUGGGGAUGCAGGAUAUACAUCAAACCCUCAUAUUCGGACUAGCACUCUUCGGAAGUGGCAUCGAUCAGACUCUCUUUGCGAGGUGCUCUCCAAACAGAUAGUCGAUUCGGCUGGUAUUCCAGCCCGCCCGCUCCAGACUGAGAUCGCAAAUUCGAAGUCCGUCUGCAGCCUCAAUGUUGACCAUGGUCGGUCAUCUCAUGUUAGCCAGGGCAAUGGGCACAUACCUGCAAAUCUUCUGCCAAAGGAAGGAGCACCUCGAACCAUUCUGAGCUACCCUAUCCACCGUCAUUGGUCCAUAGCGGGCAGUCAUCACCCGACUCUAAAAGCACCGUGGCUCAAGUAUAAGUCUCGCCCCAUGCCGAGCAAUCGAUGCCUCUCUCAUAAAAAGAGACUGGACACCUAGCUCUCCUUUGCGAGUUGGCUGGUAAACUGUCUUCCAUGCCAACAGAUGUACUCCGUGACCACCGCCAUAAGAGCCCUAGAGGAAAUUCCAGAGAAGUCGUUCCCCUGCAAUUCCAGACUAGGAUCUUUAUUUUGCAUCAUGCUGUAAACCUGAUCCAUACUCCUUGCCGCACGAGGCCCCAACACCUAACACUCCUACCUGGGCUGGCCCAUCACCAACCCUAUCUUCAUCACCACUUUCCGAAUCUCCCCCCAACACCGCCGUUCUGAUCUUCCUCACCGCCAAUUGGUGGUUGAGGGAGAUGACGGCAACACCAGAGUGCGGCCGGCCAGUUGCCGGCCUGCCGCCGUCGGCCUCCUUCCCGACCACCUCCUCACCCGGCCUGGAGCUCGAGAGCCUUGCGUCCAACUCAUCCAGGAUGCUCUCCCGGGGUCGCACGCCAGGAGCAGCCCUAGGAGGCCUCGCUAGAGCCGAAGCCAUCCUCGGAGAGGAGCUAGGGGUCGCCAGAGCGGGAGGAUGCCGGGGUAGAGGCGGACUGGGGGCGGUCCCCUGCUCCCACACUCCUGGGCCUCGGUUGGGCCCAACCUUUCGUUCGGGCGCCACGGGCGCGCCUAGCUCGUCCGCACGGGCGGCUCGACCUGCACUUCCGGGCCGACCCACCUUAGCCUCGCCCAGGCCUCGCCCUGGCCAACCCGGUCGCUGGCCUCCUGGGCCUUUUAUUGGACAGACCCAGGCCCACAUCCACCAUCAGCACUUCCGGGUCGGCCUGCACCCCGGCCGGCCCAAUGCCACCUGCAUUAUCCGCCAAGUCAACUAGGUCAGUCAACGGGUUGAAACUUGACCCGACUCGACGACUGACUUCAGUCACUCCCAAUCCCGAGUCGCCUUCCUCGCUAGCUAGCCAAUCCUUCGGGGGGAGCGCCGCCGUACCACUUUUGCUGUUUUUUUGCCAACUGUCCAAGUCUAGCGGUGAGCUAGCGGAGCUCGGAUGGUUGGGCGGGGAUUGCGGCUUAGUGGAGGACUACUCGGGUGUUGACUCGGUCAUCUUCCUUGGCUGCGGCGGCCCCUUCACUUCUCACGGCGGCUGAGUCCUCGUGGCCGCUAGCCAUGGGCCGAAGAUUGGCCGUCGGAUCUCCUCGCCAUAGCUUGAGUCCGGCUCCCCAUGGUCUCCGGCGAUUUCCACCACCAUGGGGGCUGGGGACAACGUUCGCUCCGGCACCCCCUCCAUCACUGGCAUCGAAAAUCUGCAAGCCGCCUCGGUAUGCUGGAUCUGCCUGCAGCCAUAACAGAAGUCAGACACCUUCUUGUAGACGAAGAGAUGUCACAACACCUUCGCCUUCCCCUUGAUCUGAACGCCGGCGCGGUGGCGUUGAUGGCCACCUCGACUCUGGUGAAGCUCAUCACCUUCUGUUGCUCCGUAUCCUGUCGACGGUCAGUGGCCGGCUCGCCACCGUUGCAAUCCUAGGAUCGCCUCGCUCGACCAAUAUUCCACCGGGAACCUAGGUAGCUGGAUCCAAACCACUGCCAUCUUCAUGGCGUCCAGAUCAGGCAUGAAAUGGCCCACCACCACCUACGGGCCGCCGACAAGGGCGAGGUCCCGAUCAGCGGUCGUUUUGAACCGGAGAGCGAGGUGGUCGUCGGCGUGCGGCAUCACUUCUACCUCAAACUCCAUUUUUCCUUGGAGAGUAACGUCUUCGGCCAGCCACUCCGCCGGCACCCAGCGGCCAAGGCUGCGGAUCACCACCGCCCGAUCCUCCCACUCCUAAGACGCCUCGAUCGGCUCCUCCACCUCCACCUUCGAGAUCGGGUGUGUCGCUCAGCCCCCAAACUUUGCUCGAUCACCUAUCUCCUCCUUCCGCGCUGGCGGUCCCCGGCUCUCACUAGUGGCAGCUUCGCCCACCGCCUUGCUUGCCUUGCUCCUCUUUGCUUUCGCUGAUCACUAGAUUUCAAAGCAAUCACCAUAGAGCCAACUAGCCGUUACCGGCGAACUAUUCCUUUCUACCAAUCUCUUUUCUAUCCUAUCCCUACUGAAGCUCCAACUGCAGCAGGUUCUUAGUUAUUGAUUACAUAGUGAACGGUGCAUUUAUUAAACGAAUUGUAUUUAUAGAGGUGGAGUGAGAUAAAUUGUCUUAUGACUCCACUUACAAGCAUAGGAAGGACCCAGGAAAAAGCCUUUUCUAUUGAUUGAGUAAGAAGCAAGAUAAUUUCUCUCAAUUAUUAUCUUUUCUAUUCUAUAAUAUCCUAAAAGAUUUAUAUAAAUUUGUUAAUUAAUCUGUAUGCCUAUUUAUUCGUUCUCUCAUCUUGAUAAUGAAACACUUGGGUAUGGGUUUGAAGCAUGGUAUGCUGUACCGUACCGUACCGGACGAUACCGGCAUACCGUACCGGUUCAGUACUGGUACUGGUACCGGUGGCGUACCGACACUCAGUAUCGUACUGUACCACACUAUACUAGUGUGGCACCAGUAUGGGAUCCGGUACUGAUACGACGAACCUUGGUUUGAAGUAUACACUUAUAUUUGUGCUCAUGCAGUACUAGAGACAUCUUCAACCACCAAUGAGGUUGAGCAGAUCUUUCAUUGUUAUUUUGGUAUAUAUUCUAUUCACAUUCAAUUUUUGGAAAACAACUUUUGCUCAAGUACUAACUGAUGUAAAAUAAUUUUGGGAUAUUUUUCACAGUUUUUUGUGAAACUGGUCUCAAUAGAAAGAGGGUGUUUUAGGUGGGUCUGUUCAUCAAACAAACUGAAUGAGCAAAACUUUUAUGUUUAGAUAUUAAUAAUGUCAUAUAAAAAAUAAGUUUGUUGUUCAUAUAAGUAAGGCUUUAAAGUUGGUUUUGAUACCUGUCUCAAUCACCGAACAGCAGGGUAUGCCCCAACAUGCGCCAUGCCAUCACAGAGCAUGAGUCAUCUUGACCCCGGCAGGUCAUCAUGCUAGUGGUACACUCUUUAUUGCAUUGCCCUCACCUAACUACUGCAUUGACUGUCUUGCAUGCUUGUAGGCAUCCUCAUUAGUUACCAUGUUCUUGUUGUGUAUCUGUUUGUGGUACCGCUAAUGGUGCUUAUGUACUCCACAUAUUGUGCAUGAUAAUAUGCAACUUGAGCAAUCUGUAUGGGCAUUAAUAUUGAAACACCAACUGCAUCAAGAUGCUCUAGAAUUGUUUGACUGUAUGUGUAGGCCUUGCUUGUGACUGAUCAUUGGAGAUGAUGGAGGAGAUCCCUCUUAUGAUGACUAGAAGUCAAGGUGUCAUGGAAAAGUUAUUGCUAUGACAUAAGGGAUGCGGAUGAUCCACCUUGCUAUGAAUAUUGAUCAUCAGCACUAGACCAUCUUAUUGAGCCAACUUCCUCUGUGAUAGCAUCCAUGUCUUGUCAAUGUCCCCAUCCAGAGCUUUGGUACUCCUUGUGGCUAUCUAUAGCUUCCCCUUUCCCUUGCCCCUACCCCUCCUUUGGUAUGGCCUUACAGGAGUUGGGUGAUUUCCUAUCUACCUUUGACUCUGAGAUUGGAAUCCUUGGUAUGGUGACCAAAUUGAUCUUAUCAAAGUUCACCUUCUCGGUACCAGAUCGUGUACUGAUACUAUAUUAUUAUAAUGUCGGUGUGCGAUAUGGUAUGAGACAACAAGGUAUACCGAGUGUCAGUAUGGUACGAGACUGUGUACUGGUUUGAUACCGGUUUGGUACAGUACGUCUAGUACGGUACCGACCGGUAUGGUGAACCUUGGACCUUAUAGGUAAAUGGGCUUACUGACCCCUACGAUUCUGCCUAUGUCUUGUGCUUACACCGCCGUCACCACCAGUACUCCUACAACCUUAGCUAUUGUGUUUUAAUUGUUGUCGUGUCUAGAUAAUUUGGGCAAGCCACAAGCCAAAGCAUCCAAAGCAUUAAUUGUUUUCUCUUUAGUACUACUACUUCGAUACCUUUUUUGCUCAGCCUUAUUAAUUUGAGUAGCAGUACUUGCUGGUUCUGAUGUUCUUAGUAGUUCCUUUGUUCACCCUGCCAUCAUAUUUUUGAUACCAUGGUUGGCCUUGGUCCCAUGAUUGGCCCUUGCACCCUAUCAUGAUUGAUAACAUGAUCUGCAGAGCCCCGUAAUGUGCCCCUGCUGUUCAUUUGAAUCCUUAACGGACCAGUCAUCAUCUUGAUUACAUCUUCCCACUCGUCUCCUUGCCCUUGGCCUGAGUCAGCCAUUAGGAUUCCUAUGUUCCUCUCAGAUAGACAUCUUGAACCCUGACCUGCCCUGUGGUAAAGUGGUAAGGUGCAGGAGGAACAUUGGGCUUGUGUAGCUCUCUGUCCUUUUGGUUUUGUUAAUCCUCAAGUUAGCUGAUCAUAGGUUCUUCUUAUCAUGUAUGGUCUCUGUGCUGAGAGGAUCAACACACAUCUCUGCUUUUGUGCUGGCUAGUGCACCUAGCAUUAAAUGCAUGACAUAGUGCAUGUACAACUUUUCACACCGGCAAUGUGUGAGGUGAUUUCUCACUUUUGAAUGGAUAAGUAGCAAUGUGCUUUAGUUUCUCUCACACCCAUUGAAUGAAAUGGUUUGCGAGCAGAUGUCAAAUGCAGUCAUUUAGUUUUGGUACAUUUCUAGCAUACAAUAUCUCCCAAUCAUCUGCAAGCCAAAAGUAUUCAUGUAAGCCCAUUUGAAGGCAUUCUGCCAGUAAGUAGUAGUGCAUGAAUUGAGUUCAGUAAAUAUGUAUUUUGCAGUGAAUCACACUGCGCUCAAGCUCAUCUUUCCCAACAAAUGCAUUGGCUUCUCCAAAGCUAUGUAUUACUGGCUAAAUAUUUCUCCAUUUGUUCAAAUCCAUUCAUGUUAGGAUGAUGUUUGAGACUUGGACUUAAUUAUACUGAUAGUCAGGCUUCCUAGAACACAGUAUUACCCCUCUAAGAGCAAUAUAUGCCUCUUUUCUGAAUCAUGAAGCCUAUUCACCACUGCCUUUAAAUCCAAUUGGAGAUGAUCUCUAUCAGCCAU